rnacentral:rRNA from 1 species
UACAGAGGGUGCAAGCGUUAAUCGGAAUUACUGGGCGUAAAGGGUGCGUAGGCGGUUGUUUAAGUCUGUCGUGAAAUCCCCGGGCUCAACCUGGGAAUGGCGAUGGAUACUGGGCAGCUAGAGUGUGUCAGAGGAUGGUGGAAUUCCCGGUGUAGCGGUGAAAUGCGUAGAGAUCGGGAGGAACAUCAGUGGCGAAGGCGGCCAUCUGGGACAACACUGACGCUGAAGCACGAAAGCGUGGGGAGCAAACAGG